AUUGAACGCUGGCGGCAGGCCUAACACAUGCAAGUCGAGCGGAUGAAGGGAGCUUGCUCCUGGAUUCAGCGGCGGACGGGUGAGUAAUGCCUAGGAAUCUGCCUGGUAGUGGGGAUAACGUCCGGAAACGGGCGCUAAUACCGCCUACGUCCUGAGGGAGAAAGUGGGGGAUCUUCGGACCCCACGCUUUCCGAUGAGCCUAGGUCGGAUUAGCUAGUUGGUGGGGUAAAGGCCUACCAAGGCGACGAUCCGUAACUGGUCUGAGAGGAUGAUCAGUCACACUGGAACUGAGACACGGUCCAGACUCCUACGGGAGGCAGCAGUGGGGAAUAUUGGACAAUGGGCGAAAGCCUGAUCCAGCCAUGCCGCGUGUGUGAAGAAGGUCUUCGGAUUGUAAAGCACUUUAAGUUGGGAGGAAGAGCAGUAAGUUAAUACCUUGCUGUUUUGACGUUACCAACAGAAUAAGCACCGGCUAACUUCGUG
rnacentral:rRNA from 1 species